CUCAGGGGUGCUAUAAUGCAGUCGAGCGGACAGAAGGGAGCUUGCUCCCGGAUGUUAGCGGCGGACGGGUGAGUAACACGUGGGUAACCUGCCUGUAAGACUGGGAUAACUCCGGGAAACCGGAGCUAAUACCGGAUAGUUCCUUGAACCGCAUGGUUCAAGGAUGAAAGACGGUUUCGGCUGUCACUUACAGAUGGACCCGCGGCGCAUUAGCUAGUUGGUGAGGUAACGGCUCACCAAGGCGACGAUGCGUAGCCGACCUGAGAGGGUGAUCGGCCACACUGGGACUGAGACACGGCCCAGACUCCUACGGGAGGCAGCAGUAGGGAAUCUUCCGCAAUGGACGAAAGUCUGACGGAGCAACGCCGCGUGAGUGAUGAAGGUUUUCGGAUCGUAAAGCUCUGUUGUUAGGGAAGAACAAGUGCAAGAGUAACUGCUUGCACCUUGACGGUACCUAACCAGAAAGCCACGGCUAACUACGUGCCAGCAGCCGCGGUAAUACGUAGGUGGCAAGCGUUGUCCGGAAUUAUUGGGCGUAAAGGGCUCGCAGGCGGUUUCUUAAGUCUGAUGUGAAAGCCCCCGGCUCAACCGGGGAGGGUCAUUGGAAACUGGGAAACUUGAGUGCAGAAGAGGAGAGUGGAAUUCCACGUGUAGCGGUGAAAUGCGUAGAGAUGUGGAGGAACACCAGUGGCGAAGGCGACUCUCUGGUCUGUAACUGACGCUGAGGAGCGAAAGCGUGGGGGAGCGAACAGGAUUAGAUACCCUGGUAGUCCACGCCGUAAACGAUGAGUGCUAAGUGUUAGGGGGUUUCCGCCCCUUAGUGCUGCAGCUAACGCAUUAAGCACUCCGCCUGGGGAGUACGGUCGCAAGACUGAAACUCAAAGGAAUUGACGGGGGCCCGCACAAGCGGUGGAGCAUGUGGUUUAAUUCUAAGCUACGCGAAAACCUUACCACGUCUUGACAUCCUCUGACAACCCUAGAGAUAGGGCUUUCCCUUCGGGGACAGAGUGACAGGUGGUGCAUGGUUGUCGUCAGCUCGUGUCGUGA
rnacentral:rRNA from 1 species